rnacentral:rRNA from 1 species
AUUGAACGCUGGCGGCAUGCUUUACACAUGCAAGUCGAACGGGCCGGGGGCAACUCCGGUCAGUGGCGAACGGGUGAGUAAUGCAUCGGAACGUGCCUCGUAGUGGGGGAUAACGCCGCGAAAGCGGCGCUAAUACCGCAUAUGCUCCACGGAGGAAAGCGGGGGAUCGCAAGACCUCGCGCUAUGAGAGCGGCCGAUGUCCGAUUAGCUUGUUGGUGGGGUAAUGGCCUACCAAGGCGACGAUCGGUAGCUGGUCUGAGAGGAUGAUCAGCCACACUGGGACUGAGACACGGCCCAGACUCCUACGGGAGGCAGCAGUGGGGAAUCUUGGACAAUGGGCGCAAGCCUGAUCCAGCCAUGCCGCGUGCGGGAAGAAGGCCUCGGGUUGUAAACCGCUUUUAGCCGGGAAGAAAAGGCCUGCCCUAAUACGGUGGGUUCUUGACGGUACCGGCGGAAUAAGCACCGGCUAACUACGUGCCAGCAGCCGCGGUAAUACGUAGGGUGCAAGCGUUAAUCGGAAUUACUGGGCGUAAAGCGUGCGCAGGCGGUUCGCCGUGUCCUGUGUGAAAGCCCCGGGCUUAACCUGGGAACUGCAUGGGAAACUGGCGGGCUUGAGUGUGGCAGAGGGGGGUGGAAUUCCGCGUGUAGCAGUGAAAUGCGUAGAGAUGCGGAGGAACACCGAUGGCGAAGGCAGCCCCGUGGGCCAACACUGACGCUCAGGCACGAAAGCGUGGGGGCAGCAAACAGGAUUAGAUACCCUGGUAGU